UUUCCUCGCUAACUUACGACGAAUUAGCGAGGAUAUAUGCGUUACGACAAACGUAAAACGACGAAACGGGUUUCCUCGCUAAUUCGUCGUAACACUGCUUUUACGACGAAUUAGCGAGGAAAACUGCCCUCGUAAAACUUGUGUUUUCUUGUAGUGAAUAUCAGAAAACCCAAAUUUAUAAGAAUCUGAGAGCAUCUUUCUCAAUAAUUCAUGUUUUAUUGUAGUUCUCCUAGGAACUAACAUCAUCACCUCUCUCUUUUUUGCAUUGCUUCUUGAAUCUAAAAACACACUGUAUUAACAAAUCAAAGAAUUUUUUACUCUUAGAGCCACUUUUUCACUUCUCUAUUACACUCCAGGCCACAUUGGGCUAGAAGCACACAUUAUCAUGUCACAAAGACACUAAUGCCCCUAAACUAAACCAAGCAUUAAAACCAAAAAAACUAAAAAUAAGAGAAGGUCCAGACCAUGCACCGCGGUUCAAGACGAUGGUUAACUUUAAAGUAACGGCGAGAUCUUCGAGAGUCCUCAUUAAUGUUCUACUCUCCACCAAGUUAAGCACUCUGCUGCCGAAGUUACUUUCACAGCACUAUCCAAUCGUGGCCCUUCUCACUCUCUAGCCGCUAGGAUCUUGUAUGAGACUGGUGUGUACAAGAUUUUUGCAAGAAAUAGCUCAGAGAGUGGGAGCUCCUCGGCUGCGAUACACAACCUUCAGGUCUGGCCUUGGUCUGACCUUCACCAGAGAUCAGGCUUCAGGUCUGCCGCAAUACAGAACCUCCAGGUCUGACUUUUACCGGAGAUUAGUCUAAGAACAAAAUGCAAGCGGAGAAGAAUGUUGUUAUGGCUGCUUGGUCUUCCCUUAAACAACGUGAGGCCUUCUCUCUUCGUCCUGAUCUGAUUUAAUUAAUGUUCACAUGGUGUUUGAUCUUUUAUCUUCUUGUUGAUAACAGUGCCAAAUGAAACUUCAAGCUCGAUGCUACCAACCGCCUCAGCAGAGAUUUGCAACUCCAGGAACAGCAGCUCCUCCUCCUCCUGCUUAUGUUCAUGUGGACAGCAGUUGUUGGUUUCACAAUGGAAAGGUUUUGAAAGGUGAAACUACUUUGGUGGAGAUCAAAGUUAUGGAAGAAGAUGUUCUUGUUGUCAUGCUUAGCAAAGUACACACUUUUUUCAUUAUCAAGUUAGAUUUUUUGCUUAGGAUCAAUAAUCUACAUGACGUGUUGCAGUUUUUGGUUGGUUCUGAUAUUUUAUUGGUUCAAAUCUUUGGCAUUCUGUUUAAAACAUAACAGCGGAAUAACAUGUGUACUAGUUUCUUUGUUCAUGCUUUCUUUAUCCACAAUCUCACUUCGAUGAUUUCCUCAUCCACGAUUUCUUAUGUCCAUACUUACAUGUCCUAUACUAAUUAUCUAUAUGUACAUGUCCUAGACUAUUUAUUUAUGCGUCUCUGUCCAUGCUAUCGAGUUUCUGGUGAUCUAGUCCAUAACUUCUGGUUAGUGUUUUGUCGUGGUUAGUGUUUUGUUGAGGUUUUGGUAACAUGAGUCUAUGUCUACAUUUUUUUUUCUCUUAUCCACAUGAAUCCUUGUCUACAUGACUACAUGUCCACAACUCCAUGUAUUUUGUUUUGUUAACAUGAGUCCAUGCCCAAACACAUCACCCUAACACAAAUCACCCGAACACAGCUCAAUCGACCACAACUCUGCCGACCACAACUCAGCCAUCCACAACUCAGCCAUCCACAAGAGCAAUUUUGCACCCCCACACCGAACACAAGCAAUUAAGGUAUGUCUUUGUCAAACUGACCUAUUCUCCAAAAUUCAAUAUCUUCCGUUUGAUUUAAUAGUAACUUUUGUAAUCCAACGGUGGAAAGAAGAGCCCUUUAACAUAAACAUAAAUGAAACAAGUAUAUUCUUUCCAACAAGCACCAUCGAAUCCCAUUUCCCACAAGGGCAAAUUUGACAAACCAACUCUUUGGUCCCACCAAAAAGUGUCCUACAAGUGGGAAGUGUUUCUCAGUGUAAAACAAAGACAAAAUGUGUCUUUUUAUGUAAUCAACUCCAAAUCAAAUUAGUUUCAUAACAGACGAACAAUAUAAAAUCACAUAAUAAAAAGUGAUCUAUUGAUUAUACUCUAAAUCAAAUCAACUGUCUAGAGAAUUAAACCUUAACAUACCAAGCUAGAACAUAUACUAAUCAAAUCAAAAGCAUCAUAGAUCAACAUAAAUCAGAAAAAGGUAUAAACUUUCAUUCAAAAUCAUGAAUAUGGCAGACAAAACUAGCUCAGACUUAUCCAACAUGCAAAAAUUAACUGGAAAAUCAAAGAUUUAUAGAGAGUGAUAAAUAUAAAAUAUACACAUUUGAUUGGAUUAACGAACUCAACAAUUUAAUAUCCAAACUUUAAGGAAUCUAUAUAUGAUUAGAUAAUACUAAACAAAUAAGAAAGGUCGUCUAAAUGUGUGUCUGAUUGAAAGACUGAAACUCAUCGUCAAAUCAAACGUGUGUGUGAUUGAAAAUCUGAUAGUUUAACACGAUAGUCAUGAAAAAGCGGCUCUGGAUAUUCUCCAUCACAUGCUUAAUCACAUAGCAAUACAUUAAGAAACCAAAAACAAAACAUUAAAGCUCGAUGAAGAUGACGACGGCGGAACUCGAUGAAGACGACGGUGGCAAGGCUCGAUGAAGACGACAUCGGCAAAGCUUGAUGAAGACGAUGAAGACGCCGACGGAAAGGUAGAGACACGCGCCCCCAAUUUCUUCUCCCAAACCUAGACUUCGCAUCUCCUUUCGCCCUUCUCCCGAUCGCCUCUCCGGUGCCAUUCGGCUCUGUGAUAGGGCCCUUGCCGACCCCGUCAUAUCGCAUGAAGAUAUGUUGGUGUUGUGACUCUGCUUCUGGUCGUCGUCUUCGCAGAUGACAUGUUCGAUUCGUCAAGGCUGAGAAGGAUUUGCCACGCGGUGCCGCUGCUUCUUCCUCCUCUUCACCGAAGCUUUCGUUACUCUCGACUCCUAACUCUACUCGCCGGACUGGAAAAUAAAAAAUGUCGCUUCAUGGCCUCUGCUUCCAAAGGCUAACCGGGUACGCAUCGCCUGAGCUAGAGGUCUCGGGACCUCGGACUGGAUGCGAUAGGGUCAUCUUUGUCACUCCGCUGAGUCUAGGCGAUUAACUAUUGAGUGAUGCAUUAAUUUAGCUCCUCUCCCCUCCUUUGUUUUUGGUGUUGGUGUUUCUUGUUAGUUUGGAUUGAAAUUGCAGGUUUAUUCGAGCUGGGGUGUGGAGGUUCUUCAUUUUCUUGGAGCACCGGGUAACACUUUACGGUUGGAGGAGGUAGUAAGACUCGGGAGGUGGUGAUGCUGUCCCUUACUCUGUACCGACUUAGAGGGCGAGUGCGGUCGAGUUGGUUGAGCGCUAUUAAUCACCCGUGGUGUGUGUUGUCCUGUCUAUGGCUAAAUUCCGGGUUUAGUUCCUUCCCAGCCCGGACCUAGAGGACAGUCCUUGAGUGGGUCUGUUUCUGCUCCACGGAGGAAAGCAAUUUGUGCAGGCGGCCGUUGAAUCCACUUCUCAUUGGCGUUGUGUCCCUCGUGUUCUAGGUCCUCGGGUCUCUCCUUUCAUGUCUGUCUCGGCUCAACCUUCCAUCUGGCUACUACAAGUUUGUAUUGAUACUUGACGUCCUGUUCGCUCCAAAGCACAACGGUUUCAAGUUAGAUUGUUUUCUGCGUUCAUGUUUUUACCUUUUUUUGCCAUGGAAGUAGAUUUUAGAGGUCUUCAAGUUUGUUUAACACAUCUUGUAAGCCUCAACAGUUUAUUUCUGAAAUGAUAUUUACCUUUUAGCAAAAAAAAAAAAGAAAAAAAAAAGAAUACAUAUUAAGUUGGAGGACAUUAUAAAAGUAGUUUGAUAAUGUAGGAAGUUUAUUUUAAUAUCAGAAGUAGGCAGCUAGCUGGCAUACAGCUGUGAUUUUAAAUAUUGCAUCCCUACCGUAGUUGGCGUUUGAAGUAAAAAUACUGGUAGACAAUUUGAGGUAUUGAAACCAAAUGUUUGAUACUUAACUUACUUUACUUCAACAACUUCUCCAAGACAUUCCUUUUAGGGUGAAUUUGUGAGAUAUACAUAAGAGGCACUAAAAUAAGGAAUAUGUCCAUUCUACAGUAUAAGCUCAUCGAUGUGACAGAUUCUUCAAAAAAUGACAUUACUAUCCUUCAGAGAGCGCAUGGACGUGUAGAAGAAAAAUCAAGUAAAAACCGUACUAUACUAUAUUCCUUACAGUAUGGACACAGUUGUAAGAUAGCAGAUGAAAGGACGUUUUUGGGAGUAGAAAACGAACCUACACAUGCGGAGGAAUAGAUGACGAUUGAUGACUGUGGUGGAAGAAGAGAAGAUACUGACAGCGCCGAAACAAUCAAUAGAAUUAAUGGUGACAAUGGAAUGAUUGACAUGAAUGAAGAAGAAAGAAAUUGAACUAAGAGAAGAGAAGGCUGAGGAGAAGAAUGAAAAAUAAGAAACAAACAUGAAGAAGAAAUAUUGUACUAACCUAUACUUUGACGAUAAUAUGGAAUAGUAUACUAUAAUAUUAACAAGAAUUGUCGCAAAAACAUUGUGUAUAUUCUUCAUUUAAAUGUAUUGUUCGCGAGAAAAUGGUGGAUGCAUUAUAUAUUAAAUGUUUUUACAAAACUCUAAACGUCAGAUUCAUUUCAAUAGCAUACAACCUUUGGUACCAUAAAUCUACAUUUUAUCAUAUUUGUUACAACACAAUAGAAUAAAACAUAUUAACAAAGAGUAUUGUUUUUCUUUUCUCCAAUGCAACCCACCAUCUAAUUCAGGGAUGGUUAUUAGUGGUGGCGGUGCUGAAGAAUAAGACAAUGGAGCUGAUGGAGUAGUGAAAGAGAAGAAUCAGAAGGCGAAGGAGAUACACUUUGCCAAAGAAGAAGAGAAGCAUUUUAGCAUACUAUACUCUAAUUAUAAAAUGGAAUAGAAUAUGUUACACAACAAUACUAUUCAUCUUCCCCAAGUCAAUCCAUCCUCUGCUUCUUCAUCACUAUCUCCAACCCAACAAACCAAACACCUUGCAGAUACAAUCACCCACAAAUACAACCGCCACAGCCAAUCACCGCAAGAACCCUAAAUAGCUUCUCGAACACCCCCACCCUUCUCGUUCAUCGCUUCUCUUUGAAAUUUAUCUAUCUCUUUUUUUUCUUUAUGAUGUGUCAUCUGUAUUUAGAGUUCUUUUGAAGUGAAAGAAAUCUCUUCGACUGAAGAAGAAACAUCGACAUCAGAUUCUUUUCACGCGCAUAGAUAAGGGUACGUUCGUCACUUUGUAGAUUAAUAUGUAUAAUAUCAUAGCCAAACUUUCUUAUGGGUAGAAACUUUAUUGUUGACUUUCUUAUGUGUAUGUCACCUAAUUCCCCUUCCUUUUAAGUGUCUUUUUAAACACAUAUCAAACUGAGCAUAUAAAUAUAAAGUCUUAAUGGCAUUUUCUCGAAUAGAAUUGGUCCAAUUCUACAUUAUAUUUUGUUGACCCAUGUACCACAAUGCAUCACACAAUAAUGUUAGUAUUCUUGAAUAGAAUUGGUAUAUUGCUACCAAGCUAUAAUGUUUAAUUAUGUAACACAUUAUAUUUAAUGUAAAAGUAUAUAUAAUUUUGUUUCAAAAAAAGAAAAGAAAAUGUCUAUACAAAUUGUGAUGUAAGAACCGUCUUACUCCGCGCAAGGCGCGGAUCUUACCUAGUCUAUUCUAUUAAGACAACAUCAUGACCUAUUGAUAAAUAUUGUGUCUAAUAAUAAUAAUUAAUUUCCUGCUUUUAAUUUAAAUGUUGUAUAACCACUUUCUAAUUUAAUUUCAUAUUAUGCAUGAUGACCCACUACUCCCUAAAAAAACUGUCGACUACAUACCUAAAUGAGAAAUAUUGUGAACAUGGAACAAUUUAAAAAUAUAUGAUUUUCCUAUAUGUGAAAAUCAUAUACGUAUCAAAGGUGAGAUUUAUUUAUAAAUAAAAUCAAACAUGAUUCAAAAACAUUUAUCUAACCAAACAAAUUUGUUUUGUUUUCAAUGUAUAGUUUGAAAACUUAAUUAAAAAAAACACUAAGUUUGUAACUAACUAUCAACUUUUAAUAACUCGGAAUUCAUAUAAAUGUUAUUUUAAAUAUUGUAAUUUAAUAUCAAGAAAAACUAU